rnacentral:rRNA from 1 species
AGUGAACGCUGGCGGCGUGCUUAACACAUGCAAGUCGAACGAGAACGGAUUAUAGCUUGCUAUAAUUGUCAGCUAAGUGGCGCACGGGUGAGUAAUGUAUAGGUAAUAUGCCUCUUACUAAGGGAUAACAAAUGGAAACGUUUGCUAAUACCUUAUACUCCUUAUUAACAGAAGUUAAUAAGGGAAAGAUUUAUUGGUAAGAGAUUAGCCUGUAUUGUAUCAGUUAGUUGGUGGGGUAAUGGCUUACCAAGACUAUGACACAUAACUGGUUUGAGAGGAUGAUCAGUCACACUGGGACUGAGACACGGUCCAGACUCCUACGGGAGGCAGCAGUGGGGAAUAUUGCACAAUGGACGAAAGUCUGAUGCAGCAAUGCCGCGUGGAGGAUGACACAUUUCGGUGCGUAAACUCCUUUUAUAUGAGAAGAUAAUGACGGUAUUAUAUGAAUAAGCACCGGCUAACUCCGUGCCAGCCGCCGCAGUAA